UGCGAUGUCACUUAUCCCCACAGUUGCUGGCACAUUCUGAUUCCCUUGUAAGUUUUGCAUGAAGUCCAUUGUGUUGCUACACAGAAGAGCCACUGGACAUAACACACAUAUUCCACAGCUAUCUGCAUCAGCUUGUGAGUGUGAUACGAGCAGAUUCCUGUCACCAUCAUCACUGCUGAAAACAAGAGCCAAGGAAAAUAGAAAGAGUGAGUGUUUCAUCAUAGAUAGUUAAAUAAAGCCAGUGAGUAAUCCUAGGUUACCAACAAACACUAAUAAUAGCAAGCCAGAUUUCUUCUCUGCAAAUGAACCUGACGCUUCUGCUCUCAGUCUGCCUUCAAAGGGUAGGAAAUGCUUGCCUAAUAAUGCAAAUGAAAAACAUGAAGUGAAGAACAUGAUUCCUACUGUGGAAGUAAACAUGCUGGUAAAGUGUCAAUCAUGGCGUAUCAUCUCUGCAUCAAGAGAAUCCAGGAGGAAAAAGGAGAGGAAGGCAGUCAGUCAUAGGUGAGAAAGCCAACAGCCCUGCAAAGAAGACAGGAACAUGGGGUCCCAGGAUAAGACAAAAGGAUCAGCAUGCAUAUCAACAAAACAUGGCAUG
rnacentral:lncRNA from 1 species